rnacentral:rRNA from 1 species
GUAGGUGGCAAGCGUGUCCGGAAUUAUUGGGCGUAAAGCGCGCGCAGGCGGUUCGUUUAAGUCUGAUGUGAAAGCCCACGGGCUCAACCGUGGAGGGUCAUUGGAAACUGGAGAACUUGAGUACAGAAGAGGAAAGCGGAAUUCCACGUGUAGCGGUGAAAUGCGUAGAGAUGUGGAGGAACACCAGUGGCGAAGGCGGCUUUCUGGUCUGUAACUGACGCUGAGGCGCGAAAGCGUGGGGAGCAAACAGGAUUAGAUACCCUGGUAGUCCACGCCGUAAACGAUGAGUGCUAAGUGUUAGGGGGUUUCCGCCCCUUAGUGCUGCAGCUAACGCAUUAAGCACUCCGCCUGGGGAGUACGGCCGCAAAGGCUG